rnacentral:pre_miRNA from 1 species
UUGUUAGUAUAAGUAUAUUCCAUGAGAUAUUUGGGACAUACUUAUCCUAAAA